rnacentral:lncRNA from 1 species
UCUCAUCAUGUACUAUCACCAAAUUUCCAACUCUUUUUUCUAUGGUGGUCCCGGAUGCAGUUGAACAGUAGCUGAGUCUACAACAAUGGCUUUAUCAAACUAUAAACCAGCAGCUUUUCAUUUGUGCAAUUAUGGAUGUUCAUUAUAACAACAUUUUUGAAAGUACUCGUCAGUACUUUCAAGGUGUUCCUGUGAACGAUGUUAGCAACAAGUCAGAAUCAGAACAGGAGUCUGAUAUUGAGAAACAGAAAAUCAGCAAUUUAAAGCAUGCCAAAUAUAUGAGUGCUCCUUCACCGUCAACCUCCCGAGCUUAUUGGAUGCCACAAAAUGAGGGCCCUGGACAUAACAAAGUUCCAUUUCGACAAAAUGCACAUGCUGCAGUUGCGGGAGACGAAACUCAUCAGAAACAUCACAAUAAUCUAUUGCCACCAAUCACAGCUUUAUCGUCAACAGGAGUCUCAAACUUUCCUGCAUUCAAAGCGGUUGAUAAAAUGAGUCAUCUAGGCCAAUAUCAUGGGAACUCUUCAUCCAGAACGACGGAUUAUGCUCCGUCGUCUGUUGCUGCCCCUGCCCCUUACUAUUCUAUUUCUAGUCAAGUAGCUGUAACGUCAUCUCCAGCUUAUUACUAUCCUGCCAACGUUCAAGCAUCAACAUCGAAGAGUGCCCCUUAUUUGCAUCAUGCCAAUGACACCUCGAUUGUUUCCCUCAAGAGAACUCCUCUGAGUGGCUCCAGGGAAUCUUCGUCAUCUUCAUCAUCAAUGGCAUCAAUAUUUCCAACCAAGUCAAGCUCAUAUCGGAUGAAUCCAAAGAAAGACAUCAAACCCCCAUUUUCAUCCUCUUCAGCAUCUAUGUUUCCGCCACACUCUGGCUUUCAACUGCCUGUUGCACCCUUUAAACAAGGACUGCCCUACUUAUCAACGGCCGAGUCUUUACAAUUCGGAUCCAAGAUAAUGCACCCGCCCCGGAACGGCAAUAAUAGUUUGUCGAAGGGCAAUUCAAACAUGGGUGUAUCUAGUUUCAGUAGCAAUCAAAUUAUGUAUGGCCUUAACUCUGCUUCGAGCAAAUCUAAUAGUGUGAGCCAUCAGUCUGAAAUGACUAAACGAGAAAGCCUUCAUCAGGCAUCGCACCCUGUUUCAGGGGCACCAAAACUGAAAGCGAAUACAGGGUCCAUUGUCUCAAGCUCUCAUGCUGCCUCUGUUCACACUCCUGUCUCUGUUUUUGGGUAUUCAGUUCCUAAGAUACAACCAACUGACUUUCACCAGUCAAUGAUACAAAUCAAUCCAAAGCUUCGACCCGAUAUUUCACGAGAUAAUGCAUCCCCUCUCAAUCGCACCCAAUCAGGUUUGCCUCAUACUCAGCAUGGAACAAGUAAAAAACUACCAAGCUUCCCUGAAACGUCCCUUUAUCCAGUCGUUCAAGAGAAAAAGUCAGUGCCCACUGCGCUUCAUUAUCCGGGCAUCUCACCUGUGUCUAAUGAAAGAAGCAAGGUCAUUCAGCAUCCCCAAACUACCAGAGUUGUCAAUCAAGAUCUUGAAGCUUGGACUCCCAAGAACAGUGGGCGCCUAAAGCGUGAAUCACCUUUAGACCUGUCAGUGAAGACAGUAAGGCAGUCAGCAGACUCAACUGCAAAAGAUGAAUAUGAAAACAAUAGUAGUUUCUCACUGCCUGGUUUCCAAACUCUUGAUUUCCGAAUCAGACCGCAAAUGUCAGAACCAUUUGCACCAGUCUCGGUGCCAGGCCUCGGAUACCCACUUAAUAACCCCCAGUCUUCAAUUUCAGCCCUCUCUGCCUCUGCAUCAGAAUUGUCCAGAAGAAAUGCCAAUUCCAUAUUCAGUGUUCCGCACCAUAUUCAGCCUCAGCGUGAAAGAGCAGCAGCAGAAGAGGAAAAUAAUGACUGGAGAUCAAAUGAGUCUGACCAAAGGAUGAUGCAGCAUAGAACCCAUGCUCGUUCCAGCUCAGAACUACAUAAAAGUGGUCAAAGAUCUCAGCCUUAUGAACCAAUAGUCAAUGCACCUCCUCGUUUGCAGUAUUAUGAGCAAAGGCAUCUGUCAGCGCAGCUCUUGGAAAGGAGUGCUCAAUCUAGAAAUAUCAUUAAUCAGCAUUAUUCCAUUCCUCAGUCACAUUUUGCUUUAGCCAAUCCUGUCGAUAAUUCUGUUUAUAAUUCAUUAAAAGCAAACAUGUUUUCACAUUCUAAGUCUGCCCAGUCCAAUUCUAGUGAGUCGCAUCAUAGCAAAAAACGCCCAUUACAUGCCCAAUCAGGUAGUGAACAUAAAGCGAAGAGUCCUAAAGUUGAUGCAUGGUUGAAAACAAUUGAUCAGCAAAUUGAAGAAAAAUUUAGCUCUUAUGUCACAUCAAAGGCGAAUGACCACAGAAGCUCAACCCCAGUAACCUCUGCAUCUGAUCCUAAUGUGCGACCUGCAGUUGACGGAUCCAGUCAAAAUUUCUCAAGAAACCAUACACACAUUAGGUACACACCAUACACUGAAGAGAAGGUCUAUCAGGAAAUUAAAGCACCUGAAGAAUCUAAAGCUUACUCAAAGCGAGAUGAACGUUUCAUUAAUGUUACUGAAUCUUCCCCUUCACUAUUCACCCGAGAGCAAGUAAAUCAAUGCUCAGUAGUACGGCACAGUGACUCCAUCAAUGCAAAUAUCAUGACACCUGGUGAUGUCACUGCUGCCUCAAGAGGAACAACUUCGGAGAUUGUUGCUGAGAAGUUUGAUGGAUCAUUCGCACCUCAGCCUCAAUUAGUCAGUCCAUUGGUAAGCUUUAAAGGAAAAGAAGAUGAAGAAAAAAUUAUGCCCCGGCCUCGUACAAAAGCAGAGUUGAAACAGGUUGAAUCUAGUGGUAACUUUCCAAAAUCAGAAUUUAAUGUCGGCAAUGACAAUCUGUCUACCUCCAAUUGUAAAAUGACUUUUCUGCAAAAUAGCACGCCAUCAUUUGCAGGAGAUGUUGAAAGUGGUGAAAGCAAAAGUGGGGACGGACUUCCCACUCCACCAUCUGAAUCAAGCGUCAGUCCACCAAAGUUGACAGAGGAAGAAAUCAGCCGGUUGCCUCGAAAAAAGUUGUCCAGUGAAAUGGAUGAGAGUGAAGAUGGGCGAUGCUCUCUAGAUCCAUGUGUUUUUGAUUUUCGAGAUAGUGAUUCAGAGUGCGAAAUGCCAGUUCUUGAACGUCAAACUCUUGAUGAAAUGCGCAAAGAAAGGGAUCGCCGCAUACACUCCAAAAUUAGUACUUCAAACGAAAAUUUGUCAUCAGAAAAGGUUGCAACAAGCGAGACAUCGGUCGUUGAAGAAUCAAAAGAUCCGUUUUGGAUGGAAACUUGCGAUUCAUUCUUGGAACAGUUAACAACGGCUCCUGUGCAAAAGUUAAAGAAAAUAUCAAGGAAGCAUCUUAAACAUGAUUCAAAGUCAAGUGACAGUGCUGUGGAUAAAAAAUCUUCAAAUGAUAUCAUGGAAAGUUCAAAUGAUAUUGAACAUUCCAUCAUUGAUAAAAUUAGAGAACAAAUACUACUGCGUGAUAGUCGUGUUAAACGUGGCGAGUUGUGGGACCCGAAAGUAGUUGUGAAAGAUUUCAAGAAAGAGAAGCAACAUUUUCCAAACUUAAAACUUGAAAAAUUGAGUACAGUUGAAUUGAAACAAGAAAUUGCUGAACUUAAAAGCAUGAAAAAAGAAUUGCAAGAAAAAUAUUGGAAAGUUCUUUCAACGAUGAGAAAACAGAACCCCUUGAUGAAUUGA